rnacentral:misc_RNA from 1 species
AAUUUCUCAAGCUAGGAUGGCUUUUUGUCUGUCCUUAGCCUUGGUUGUUGGGCUUUGCCGUGUCCUUCAUUGGGACGGCUGGCCUUAAAAGCAUUAGCUGAUCCUCGUGUGGCACUGGUUCUACUCAGCGUGAUAACAGUCUGAUCGCUGAGGACAUCUUUUGGGAUGGCCAGUCCUCAUUUGGGUUGCUUCUAAACUUGGUUUCGCGGAUUGUUCAAUCUGCGUUCCACUUUUCAG